UACACGUCCCAGAGUCCUACAAGUCCCAGCCUCCUCCGCGGUUCUGGAGAGCGAGACCGCGCGGUUUUUGUUUUUUAUUUUUCUCAAAUGCGGAAGUCGGAGAGAGAACCAUAUCACGCUGGAGAGAUGGCAGCUGAUCGUAGAGGCAAACAGGUUGCAGAAAUUAUCUAGUGUUAUCUUGCAAUAUUUGAAAACGGUAUAUUUGUUUUACUGUAAAGCACUUUGUGCACUUCAAGGGCACACCAUUGAAAUGCACUGGCGGAAUCCCAGAAUCAGGCAGCCACUUACCUCUGGUGUGUGUGCCCUGAAGAGAUAGUUCACCAGUUUACUUGAAAUGUUAAGGAUUGCAAAGUGUGUAUUUAAAAGAGCUUGUAUUUUAUUUUUCUAUUUUAUACGAUCACAGACUGUUGUUAUUUGAAGAUAUUUGUCAAGUUUACUUGAAAUUUUAUAGAUUGUAUUUGUUUAAAGUGAGUAUUUAAAAGAGCUUGUAUUGUUUGGGACCAAUAAAACUGACACUUUGUA